GACUUUACUUAGGAAAUAGUAUAAUUGGGAAUACCAAGAGUUUUGAUCUCUUUGAUGUAGGUUCAAGUCCUA
rnacentral:tRNA from 1 species